rnacentral:rRNA from 1 species
CGAACGGUAACAGGAAGCAGCUUGCUGCUUCGCUGACGAGUGGCGGACGGGUGAGUAAUGUCUGGGAAGCUGCCUGAUGGAGGGGGAUAACUACUGGAAACGGUAGCUAAUACCGCAUAAUGUCGCAAGACCAAAGAGGGGGACCUUCGGGCCUCUUGCCAUCGGAUGUGCCCAGAUGGGAUUAGCUUGUUGGUGGGGUAACGGCUCACCAAGGCGACGAUCCCUAGCUGGUCUGAGAGGAUGACCAGCCGCACUGGAACUGAGACACGGUCCAGACUCCUACGGGAGGCAGCAGUGGGGAAUAUUGCACAAUGGGCGCAAGCCUGAUGCAGCCAUGCCGCGUGUAUGAAGAAGGCCUUCGGGUUGUAAAGUACUUUCAGCGGGGAGGAAGGGAGUAAAGUUAAUACCUUUGCUCAUUGACGUUACCCGCAGAAGAAGCACCGGCCAACUCCGUGCCAGCAGCCGCGGUAAUACGGAGGGUGCAAGCGUUAAUCGGAAUUACUGGGCGCAAAGCGCACGCAGGCGGUUUGUUAAGUCAGAUGUGAAAUCCCCGGGCUCAACCUGGGAACUGCAUCUGAUACUGGCAAGCUUGAGUCUCGUAGAGGGGGGUAGAAUUCCAGGUGUAGCGGUGAAAUGCGUAGAGAUCUGGAGGAAUACCGGUGGCGAAGGCG